rnacentral:rRNA from 1 species
CAGCCGUAAACUAUGCGCGUUAGGUGUACUGGUGACCACGAGUCACCGGGGUGCCGAAGGGAAACCGUGAAACGUGCCGCCUGGGAAGUACGGUCGCAAGGCUGAAACUUAAAGGAAUUGGCGGGGGAGGCACCACAACGGGUGGGAGCCUGCGGUUUAAUUUGGAUUCAACACCGUAAACUACACCAGGGAAGACUGUUACAUGAAGGCCGAGAUGAAGACUCUGCUAGAUUUUCUAGAGAGGAGGUGCAUGGCGUCAGUGACU